AUAACACUUCAAAUUAAUAAAUUAAACGCCAUACAACAGACUCCGAACCUUGAAAAGUUAGCGUCGUGCAGUGAAAUAAAAGUGGAACAAAAAUUAUUAGAAAAAGAAUUAGAAGAAACUGGAAUACAGAUAGAACAGGAAGAAUUAGUUUAUGAGGAAAUUCAACCAAAUAAAUCGUCAUUAAAUAUGUACUUUCAGAAAAUCUACAGCAGGAGAAUGCCGUUGUUCGUGAUCAAUUAAACGUCCAUGAAAAAAUAUUAGCUGACCAAACAGUUUUAAUAAAACAGCUUACAAAGGAGAAGGGCGAUAUGAAUUCUGUUCGGGACCAGUUCCCGAUUGAAACGGACGAGCAGCUGAUGAAAAUGGAGGAGAAUAUAAAAAUGAAUAGAGACAUUUAUAUUUCAACAAGCAAAUCCAUAUUACAGCCAGCCGGAGUGCUUGUCAACUUAAAAUUUAUUUUAAGUCAGGAAAGUGUACUGGCAUAUAAUGUGGAUGGAGUACAAGGGAAGAAAGUCCUCAGGAGCCACUCGGAGUUUUAUGGAGCUUUGCUAGAAUGUAUUCCGCCUGGAGACGAAGCACCAGAAAUGCUGAUGCGCAAAGCGAUGCAGAGGGUGAAA